rnacentral:rRNA from 1 species
GUAGGAGACGAGCGUUAUCCGGAUUUACUGGGCGUAAAGCGUGUGCAGGCGGUUCGGCAAGUUGGAUGUGAAAUCUCCCGGCUCAACUGGGAGGGGUCGUUCAAUACUACCGAACUUGAGGGCAUCAGAGGAAGGUGGAAUUCCGGGUGUAGUGGUGAAAUGCGUAGGUAUCCGGAGGAACACCAGUGGCGAAAGCGGCCUUCUGGGAUAAUCCUGACGCUCAGACACGAAAGCUAGGGGAGCAAACGGGAUUAGAGACCCCGGUAGUCCUAGCUGUAAACGAUGUAGACUUGGCGUCGGAGGGUUCAAAACCUUCAGUGUCGUAGCUAACGCGAUAAGUCUACCGCCUGGGGACUACGGCCGCAAGGUUA